GCCGCCAUAGCUCAGUAGGUAGAGCGCUCGACUGUUAAUCGAAUGGUCGCAGGUUCGAGUCCUGCUGGCGGCGC
rnacentral:tRNA from 7 species